GCACCGGUGGUUCAGUGGUAUUAGAAAGCUCCCCUACCACGCGAGUUGCUCGGGUUCUAUUACCAGCCGAUUGGCGCA